rnacentral:lncRNA from 1 species
CUCGCCACACAGGGUCCCACCACCGUUGCUCGCCUCUUCCUCCACCUCCGCCUCCUCUUCCUCCGCCUCUACGGCCUCCUCUUCCGCCGCCGCCACCACCGCGGCGACCUCCGCCUUGGGAGUUAGGACGAUAAGACAUUGGGGAGAUGGAGAUCCUUCGACGAUGAAACAGCAAUGAAGGAAGAAUGGUUGGGGUCAGAGGUCGAAAGUUGAUGAGCACCUCGGAUUCUUUGAGAGCGAUGGGAAGUGAUCGUGUGAAGGAUUUCGAAGUUGAGAACAGAGAGCUUACUCCUCCUUUCAGAUACAUUCUCGACGAAGCGUAAACCCCUAAAACUGCUACUCUUCUUUGUCCAGCGGCGUCGUUUGAACCAGCGAAAAGGAGCUAGUCAG